rnacentral:lncRNA from 1 species
GCGUCAAGGAUUUCUUACCUGGUAUUAGAAAGUGAUGUCAGUAGUUAAGUAUUAUACUAAAGAGGGGAGAGGCCGCCCUGCGCCUCACCCUGGAGGGUACGCCUGGAUAACCACAGCAGUGGACGGGCCAUCCGCUAUGGGCCCUGUGAGUCUGUCUAACUGCUGUCACUGUCAGCUGGUUAUUUAUGCUCCGUUAGGAACUUGUGACCCCACCUAUGAACGUGUCUUUCAGUGACCUAAAGAAAGGAACCUGCCUCCGUUUUGCUGGAAGUGGAAAUGAAGAGAACCGAAACAACGCAUAUCCUCACAAGGCGGGCUUCGCCCAGCCAUCAGGCCUCGCUCUCGCUCCAGAAGAGCCCUGGAGCUGCCUCUUUGUGGCUGACAGCGAGAGCAGCACUGUGAGGACUGUCUCGCUGAGAGACGGAGCCGUGAAACACCUCGUUGGCGGAGAGCGAGACCCCAUGAAUUUAUUUGCUUUUGGUGAUGUUGAUGGAGCAGGCAUCAGUGCGAAGCUUCAGCACCCACUUGGGG